CCUACGUGAGGCAGCAGUGGGGAAUAUUGCACAAUGGGGGAAACCCUGAUGCAGCGACGCCGCGUGAGUGAAGAAGUAUUUCUGUAUGUAAAGCUCUAUCAGCAGGGAAGAAAAUGACGGUACCUGACUAAGACGCCCCGGCUAACGACGGGACAGAAGCCGCGGUAAUACGUAGGGGGCAAGCGUUAUCCGGAUUUACUGGGUGUAAAGGGAGCGUAGACGGCCAGACAAGUAAGAAGUGAAAGCCCAGGGCUCAACCCUGGGACUGCUUUUGAAACUGCCGGGCUGGAGAGUAGGAGAGGUAAGCGGAAUUCCUAGUGUAGCGGUGAAAUGCGUAGAUAUUAUGAGGAACACCAGUGGCGAAGGCGGCUUACUGGACUGUAACUGACGUUGAGGCUCGAAAGCGUGGGGAGCAAACAGGAUUAGAUACCCUUGUAGUC
rnacentral:rRNA from 1 species